rnacentral:rRNA from 1 species
GACAGAGGUGCCGAGCGUUAGGCGGAAUCACUGGGCUUAAAGCGCGUGUAGGCGGGUCCGUCAGUGCCUUGUGAAAUCCCACGGCUCAACCGUGGAACUGCUGGGCAUACUGCGGGUCUUGGGCCAUCUAGGGGCGAGCGGAACAAGCGGUGGAGCGGUGAAAUGCGUAGAUAUCGCUUGGAACGCCAAUGGUGAAAACAGCUCGCUGGGGAUGUGCCGACGCUGAGACGCGAAAGCCAGGGGAGCAAACGGG